rnacentral:rRNA from 1 species
UACGUAGGGUGCGAGCGUUGUCCGGAAUUAUUGGGCGUAAAGAGCUUGUAGGCGGUCUGUCGCGUCUGCUGUGAAAAUCCGGGGCUCAACCCCGGACUUGCAGUGGGUACGGGCAGACUAGAGUGUGGUAGGGGAGACUGGAAUUCCUGGUGUAGCGGUGAAAUGCGCAGAUAUCAGGAGGAACACCGAUGGCGAAGGCAGGUCUCUGGGCCACUACUGACGCUGAGGCGCGAAAGCUAGGGGAGCAAACAGG